CAGCAGCCGCGGUAAAACGAAGGGGGCUAGCGUUGUUCGGAAUUACUGGGCGUAAAGCGCACGUAGGCGGAUAUUUAAGUCAGGGGUGAAAUCCCGCAGCUCAACUGCGGAACUGCCUUUGAUACUGGGUAUCUUGAGUAUGGAAGAGGUUAGUGGAAUUGCGAGUGUAGAGGUGAAAUUCGUAGAUAUUCGCAGGAACACCAGUGGCGAAGGCGGCUAACUGGUCCAUAACUGACGCUGAGGUGCGAAAGCGUGGGGAGCAAACAGGAUUAGAUACCCCCGUAGUCCCUGUCUCUUAUAC
rnacentral:rRNA from 1 species